rnacentral:rRNA from 1 species
AUUGAACGCUGGCGGCAUGCCUAACACAUGCAAGUCGAACGAGUGGCGGACGGGUGAGUAAUGUCUGGGAACCUGCCUGAUGGAGGGGGAUAACUACUGGAAACGGUAGCUAAUACCGCAUACCAUCAGAUGUGCCCAGAUGGGAUUAGCUAGUUGGUGGGGUAACGGCUCACCAAGGCGACGAUCCCUAGCUGGUCUGAGAGGAUGACCAGCCACACUGGGACUGAGACACGGUCCAGACUCCUACGGGAGGCAGCAGUGGGGAAUAUUGCACAAUGGGCGCAAGCCUGAUGCAGCCAUGCCGCGUGUAUGAAGAAGGCCUUCGGGUUGUAAAGUACGUUUAGCGGGGAGGCGGUACCCGCAGAAGAAGCACCGGCUAACUACGUGCCAGCCGCCGCGGUAAUUC